UACGAAGGGGGCUAGCGUUGCUCGGAAUCACUGGGCGUAAAGGGCGCGUAGGCGGCCGAUUAAGUCGGGGGUGAAAGCCUGUGGCUCAACCACAGAAUUGCCUUCGAUACUGGUUGGCUUGAGACCGGAAGAGGACAGCGGAACUGCGAGUGUAGAGGUGAAAUUCGUAGAUAUUCGCAAGAACACCAGUGGCGAAGGCGGCUCACUGGCUCGAUACUGACGCUGAGGUGCGAAAGCGUGGGGAGCAAACAGG
rnacentral:rRNA from 1 species